AUACACAUGCAGUCGAGCGGUAGCACAGAGAGCUUGCUCUCGGGUGACGAGCGGCGGACGGGUGAGUAAUGUCUGGGAAACUGCCUGAUGGAGGGGGAUAACUACUGGAAACGGUAGCUAAUACCGCAUAACGUCGCAAGACCAAAGUGGGGGACCUUCGGGCCUCAUGCCAUCAGAUGUGCCCAGAUGGGAUUAGCUAGUAGGUGGGGUAACGGCUCACCUAGGCGACGAUCCCUAGCUGGUCUGAGAGGAUGACCAGCCACACUGGAACUGAGACACGGUCCAGACUCCUACGGGAGGCAGCAGUGGGGAAUAUUGCACAAUGGGCGCAAGCCUGAUGCAGCCAUGCCGCGUGUGUGAAGAAGGCCUUCGGGUUGUAAAGCACUUUCAGCGGGGAGGAAGGCGGUGAGGUUAAUAACCUCAUCGAUUGACGUUACCCGCAGAAGAAGCACCGGCUAACUCCGUGCCAGCAGCCGCGGUAAUACGGAGGGUGCAAGCGUUAAUCGGAAUUACUGGGCGUAAAGCGCACGCAGGCGGUCUGUCAAGUCGGAUGUGAAAUCCCCGGGCUCAACCUGGGAACUGCAUUCGAAACUGGCAGGCUAGAGUCUUGUAGAGGGGGGUAGAAUUCCAGGUGUAGCGGUGAAAUGCGUAGAGAUCUGGAGGAAUACCGGUGGCGAAGGCGGCCCCCUGGACAAAGACUGACGCUCAGGUGCGAAAGCGUGGGGAGCAAACAGGAUUAGAUACCCUGGUAGUCCACGCUGUAAACGAUGUCGAUUUGGAGGUUGUGCCCUUGAGGCGUGGCUUCCGGAGCUAACGCGUUAAAUCGACCGCCUGGGGAGUACGGCCGCAAGGUUAAAACUCAAUGAAUUGACGGGGGCCCGCACAAGCGGUGGAGCAUGUGGUUUAAUUCGAUGCAACGCGAAAACCUUACCUGGUCUUGACAUCCACAGAACUUAGCAGAGAUGCUUUGGUGCCUUCGGAACUGUGAGACAGUGCUGCAUGGCUGUCGUCAGCUCGUGUGUGAAUGUUGGGUUAAGUCCCGCACGAGCGCACC
rnacentral:rRNA from 1 species